rnacentral:rRNA from 1 species
AGAGCGAACGCUGGCGGCAGGCCUAACACAUGCAAGUCGAGCGCCCCGCAAGGGGAGCGGCAGACGGGAGAGUAACACGUGGGAACGUACCCUUUGGUUCGGAACAACACAGGGAAACUUGUGCUAAUACCGGAUAAGCCCUUACGGGGAAAGAUUUAUCGCCAAAGGAUCGGCCCGCGUCUGAUUAGCUUGUUGGUGAGGUAACGGUUCACCGAAGGCUACGAUCAAUAGCUGGUCUGAGAGGAUGAUCAGCCUCACUGGGACUGAGACACGGCCCAGACUCCUACGGGAGGCAGCAGUGGGGAAUAUGGACAAUGGCGCAAGCCUGAUCCAGCCAUGCCGCGUGGAUGAUGAAGGCCCUAGGGUUGUAAAGUCCUUUCGACGGGAAGAUAAUGACGGUACCCGUAGAAGAAGCCCCGGCUAACUUCGUGCCAGCAGCCGC